rnacentral:rRNA from 1 species
GACGAACGCUGGCGGCGCGCCUAACACAUGCAAGUCGAACGAGAGAUGAGGAGCUUGCUCUUCAAAUCGAGUGGCGAACGGGUGAGUAACGCGUGAGGAACCUGCCUCAAAGAGGGGGACAACAGUUGGAAACGACUGCUAAUACCGCAUAAGCCCACGGCUCGGCAUCGAGCAGAGGGAAAAGGAGCAAUCCGCUUUGAGAUGGCCUCGCGUCCGAUUAGCUAGUUGGUGAGGUAACGGCCCACCAAGGCGACGAUCGGUAGCCGGACUGAGAGGUUGAACGGCCACAUUGGGACUGAGACACGGCCCAGACUCCUACGGGAGGCAGCAGUGGGGAAUAUUGCACAAUGGGGGAAACCCUGAUGCAGCGACGCCGCGUGGAGGAAGAAGGUCUUUGGAUUGUAAACUCCUGUUGUUGAGGAAGAUAAUGACGGUACUCAACAAGGAAGUGACGGCUAACUACGUGCCAGCAGCCGCGGUAAAACGUAGGUCACAAGCGUUGUCCGGAAUUACUGGGUGUAAAGGGAGCGCAGGCGGGAGAACAAGUUGGAAGUGAAAUCCAUGGGCUCAACCCAUGAACUGCUUUCAAAACUGUUUUUCUUGAGUAGUGCAGAGGUAGGCGGAAUUCCCGGUGUAGCGGUGGAAUGCGUAGAUAUCGGGAGGAACACCAGUGGCGAAGGCGGCCUACUGGGCACCAACUGACGCUGAGGCUCGAAAGUGUGGGUAGCAAACAGGAUUAGAUACCCUGGUAGUCCACACCGUAAA